AUUGAACGCUGGCGGCAGGCCUAACACAUGCAAGUCGAGCGAGAAAGGCACUUCGGUGCUGAGUAUAGCGGCGGACGGGUGAGUAACGCGUGGGAAUCUGCCUAGUAGAGGGGGACAACCAGUGGAAACGCUGGCUAAUACCGCAUACGCCCUAGGGGGGAAAGCGGGGGAUCUUUUCGGAGACCUCGUGCUAUUAGAUGAGCCCGCGUUGGAUUAGCUAGUUGGUGGGGUAAAGGCCUACCAAGGCGACGAUCCAUAGCUGUUCUGAGAGGAUGAUCAGCCACACUGGGACUGAGACACGGCCCAG
rnacentral:rRNA from 1 species